UGCCUGUGACAAGACAACUCUUGCCUGGUGGUCCCAGAAUAUGAGGAACUCAAUUAUCCCUGGAAGUGUUCUUUUGGGCUCUGUAGAGUUAGAGCUACUGGUCCCAGAAGAGUGCACAGGAAAGCACAUAUUCUUCAGGAAAAGGAUGGGCUCAAUGUCGGCUGGAGCAAGGCUCUCCAUGACUCCGUACCUGAAUCCACAGAUCCAUCCAUUUUUCCUGGUGGCAUUUCCUCUAACCUACGAAGAAGCUCUUGAGACUAAGCAUCCCAUUCAGCCUUGCCUCUAUUUCUGCUUCCCAGCAAUGCUUGUCAGAAAGCAAUGUCUUAUAACUCUGAUACUGGGAGACUAUCUUUACUUUCAUUGGAUUCUAAGGAUUGUUUGACUCCAAUCUCAUGUUUAAAUCUAGAUGAAUAUGCAUUGA